rnacentral:misc_RNA from 1 species
CCCAGGUUGCAACAUGUUCGACGUAUACUUCCUUUCCGAUGAAAAGCAGCAAGUAAACAAAGCUUCUAGUUCUGCAAAGAGAGAAAGAAGGAAGAGAUUUUCUUGCUGGCAUACCUUAGAAAGAAAAAAAAUGUCAGCGGUAGAGUUAUAUUAGCGAGAAGCAAGAAUCGAUUCUGCCGUGAAGUCCUGUUGUGUUUGGCGUGUGUGCGUGUACAACGAAGAAGGAAGUAACGAAAGGGGAAUCCCCUUAUCUUCCUCGUCUACUAACGUAACCCUCCCUUAAAAAAAAAAUCAGAUACUACAAUAGAAACUAGAUUACUUUCAAGUGCACAAAGACUUGAUGCAGAUGUUUUUGUUUGUAAGCGUAGUGGUCUGUGUUCAAGAGAAGGUUUAACGAGAACAGAAUAUCGUUGUCAUCGUCUCAACACUCGACACUGAUGACGUUCGCCGUCACGACAAUGGAAGUAAUGAACUCUUUAUGUGAGGGUGUACAAUUUCUUUUCGGACACAAACUGGAUGGAUUUUAAUGUUUAGUGGUAGUACACUGAUUAUAUCUCUGACGUCGUAUUGGAUGUAAGGCAGAAACAGCAUCAGGAUCAACCACACCGAACGACUGCACUGAAUCGACCAUCUUCGCAACGGUGACGUUUCACGACAGAACCCACCAUAACCAGUGAUUCGUUUUAUGUCAGUGAUGAUUUACGAAAGUCAUUUUCAAAAUGGCCGUCAAACCUAUGGAAUAUUUUUUAUUCGAUUUUUUUCAGUUCAAGGAGUGAACAUAUUUUUUCAUAGAAACUCGCGUUGGUCGACUUCUGCUUCUAGUUUUUAAAUUAACCCUAAAAAUCAAAAAUCGGAAAUGAAACGGGUUCGUGCUCUGCAUCACGUUCUCCCAAAGGUUCCACUGUCUUUCGUUCGUUCUUGGAAUAUUCAUGAAACGUUCUGGAACCCUUUCAUCGAGUGCUCUUUUUCCGGGAACAGACUGCUAUGAUUGUCAUGGAAGAUAUUUUCUUAUCCAGCAACAGAGCAGCUAAAUACUUACACCACAGUAUUCAGAAUUCAGGUUUUAUUGUGACCAUUGAUUUGAUUAGCUGCUAAAGAAAAAAAUAACAAGUUGUGAGGAAGUACUCAAGUCUUUUCCCCCAUUAUGAAAGAGGCUUGGAAAGACACAGCUCAGCAGGUUUCAGAGUUCUUGAAAGAAGGGAAGUAAUAGAGAGUCCUGUAGAACUCCAUUCUACUACUGUGGUAGCUUUAUGAUCCUGUGGACAAGAUUCAUUUGCAUGGUUGUGAAUGUCAGCCACCAUGGCGGAACUGCCAAGCAUCAACUGUUCAAGCAUCAGCAGCACUUAUGAGUCCUCUUCAGGCAGUGAUGGCAGCUAUCCUUCACGGCGCAAUAAAGUAGAAGGUUAUGACUAUGAGUUUGUGCCCACUCCUGAUGCUCGGUAUGAGUGUACUAUCUGCCUGCUGGUGCUACGAGAACCAAGGCAGACUCCUUGUGGACACCGUUUCUGCCGUGACUGCAUCAUUAAGUGGAUCAGAGAAUCUCAGCAGCGGUGUCCAGUGGAUAAUGAACCAUUUGAGGAGAAGGAUUUGUUUGCUGACAACUUUGCCAAACGAGAAAUCCAGAAUUUCAAUGUUAAGUGUCCUAACAGCAAGCAGGGAUGCGAUACAAUCACCUCAGUGAAACAGCUUCAGGCCCAUCAGAGAGAAUGUCCCUUUGGUUUGGCUCCUUGCCCAAAUCGAUGUAGCAACGUGCUGUUCAAACGAGAUCUUGCUGAGCAUGUUCAGCAUUUGUGUGAACUGCGGAACGUUCAGUGUCCGAACUGCGGUGCCACUUUCCUCAGCAGGGAUGCUUGGACGCAUGUUGAGGUGUGUCCAAAAAGGCAGGUGAAAUGCCACUUCUGUGAGGAAGAGAUGGAGAUGCAAGCGAUGGCAGAACAUGAGGCCACAGUGUGCCCCAGAAAGACGCUGCAUUGUGCUUUUCACACUUUGGGCUGUAAUGCUGAGAUGGAACGGUGCAACGAGAAGACCCACCUACAAGACAACCUGCAGGAACACAUGCUGCUACUGUGCAAUGGACUGACAACCAUCAUGCAUGUGCUAGGCAUUCAACGUCUCUCACCUGAAAGCAGCACCAGCACCACCCGUGGUCUUGUGCCCACUGAGACCUCGGGACUCUUGUCUGGCUUGGCUCUGUCGCUGCAGCAACUCUCUUUAGGGAAACUGCCCAGAAUGAGUUUGGACAGUCAGACACUGAAACAACAGCUACCUCGUUUACCUGUACCUGGAUCCAGUUUUGUUGACUCUCAUGCUCAAACUCAUGAAGAAUCAGCAGGACCCAUUUCUUUUUAUCGAAGCCCAUCGGACCCUAAAAAUUCUCUCAUGGGAAGUGCCGUGUCGAUUGGCACACAGGAGGCUUCAGUACUCAGUCACACAUCUGGACAUUCAAACUCUAGUGGUGUAGGUGGCUUCCAGAGCUUGCCGUCAGCUUCCAGCGAAGACUUCGAGUCACUGAAAGCUCGAAACGUCACCCAAGAUGCAAGCUUGGCCAUGCAUGACCAGUGUUUGAUUGAGCUACAGGCAAAGGCGAAACGUUGUGACCAGCUGAAUCAGGAGCUCAAGCAAAAGGUCAAGCAACUCGAGGCACAGAUCAGCGACUUUGAAAGCAGAGUGUGUAGCGGUCAAUUUUUCUGGCGGAUCAGGAAUUAUUCCAAGCUCCUGCGAGAUGCAGAGCAUGGGGCAAUGACAGCCCUUCACAGUCAACCGUUUUACACCUCAGCCUCUAUGGGAUACAAAAUCUGCAUCCGAGCCAACCUCAAUGGGGUGGAUUCAGCAAAAGGGAGUCACUUGUCUUUAUUCGUCCAUUUCAUGCAGGGGGAAUAUGAUGACCUUCUGGACUGGCCAUUCUCAGGCAAAAUUAUUCUUUCUGUCAUCGAUCAGAAUGAACGCUGUGAAAUGAGGCACCAUGUGUCUGAGACCCUUGUUGCAAAACCAAACCUGGCUGCAUUUCAAAAGCCUUCAACUCCAAGAAACCAUAAAGGUUUUGGCUAUAUGGAGUUUCUUCCCUUGAGUUCUGUGAAAGGUUCCUCAUUCAUACGAAAUGACACGCUUAUUAUCAAGGCCCAAGUACUUCCCAACUGCUGAAUAUGUUUCGACAAUGAAUGUAACAAAGAAAGGUAUAGAUCCCACUUGAAUGAAGUAGGAAGAUGACUUUGGAUUGAGCUAGAAGAUUACCUCAAUCGGCAUGGAUACCUUGUGAUUUCCUUGACAUCUUCAACUUGGCAGAAUGUAUCUUAACAACAUGGACAGUUUUCAUGCUGAUGUAAAGCUCUUCAGUGGGGUUGCAUUUGCUGCACUCGGGGAAAGUAGCAAGUUUUCAUGAUAUAAAGGAAUAAAGCUUGCACUGUCUUAUUUGUGUACACAUUAAAUGAGAAAUAUCUUAGCAUUUGUACGAUAACCACUGGUUUGGAGGAAAUUUUUUUUUUCUUGAUGUGCUUCAACUCUAGGGAGUUUGAGUUGGUGGAUGAAAUAUCCUGGAAGUGCAAAUGGUAAUAAUAAAUGCAAAAUUUGUA